ensembl:lncRNA
AACACAGCAGUGUGGAAUUUAGUGAAUUAUAAAAUAUGUAUAUAUUAUAAAAUAUUAUAAUAUAAUGUGGGAUUAUAGGAACUUGUGCAAUGUCUCUCAACCAUUCACAAUGUGCAGAUUUAACUAAGUGUUGUAAAAUUAAGUAUGUGGUAAAUGUGUAUUAUAUUUUUUAUCAAUUUUUUGUUCCAAGGGCGUUUUGACUUGCAUCAGCCACUGUAUGAAUGUCAAACAUGCCAGCAGCAAUGGACCCCUGACUUUAAAGACCUCCUAAGAAGUGGAUAUUGGCCAGCCUCCGUCACCAAUUCCACACUUUAUACACUGGACCUCUUGAGCUCCCUUCAGGAACUCAAGAUCAUAUCUCCGGGAUCCUCCAGACAAGCCUUCGCAAAGCUGCUGGAGCAUCGCACUAAGUGUGGAGGAAGAUCUGGACCUAUCAACGGCGAUGCACUGCAGCGCAGCUUUUUAGAGCUUUCAUAUGCAUCAUUUGAGGAAGACCAGCUCUGCUGUAGUGCUUCUUUCACCUGCCCAGCCUGCACACCAGAAAUGUUGGCUGUUUCAGCAGAUGGAAAUAGAAAGCUAUAUCGCUUUCGCCGAAAUGGAAGCUCUGAUGAUCCUGGCUUUUUUGAGGGGCUCUUUGUGGCUGAAGACAGUGCAGUGUCUACAUUUGUUAACACCAUACAGAAAGCAGUAAAAAAUGCAAGUUGA